rnacentral:rRNA from 1 species
GUACUCGAGCGGCGAACGGGUGAGUAACACGUGAGCAACCUGCCCUAGGCUUUGGGAUAACCCUCGGAAACGGGGGCUAAUACCGAAUAGGACCACCGGUCGCAUGGUUGGUGGUGGAAAGUUUUUCGGCCUGGGAUGGGCUCGCGGCCUAUCAGCUUGUUGGUGGGGUGAUGGCCUACCAAGGCGACGACGGGUAGCCGGCCUGAGAGGGCGACCGGCCACACUGGGACUGAGACACGGCCCAGACUCCUACGGGAGGCAGCAGUGGGGAAUAUUGCACAAUGGGCGGAAGCCUGAUGCAGCGACGCCGCGUGAGGGAUGACGGCCUUCGGGUUGUAAACCUCUUUCAGCAGGGACGAAGCGUAAGUGACGGUACCUGCAGAAGAAGCACCGGCCAACUACGUGCCAGCAGCCGCGGUAAGACGUAGGGUGCGAGCGUUGUCCGGAUUUAUUGGGCGUAAAGAGCUCGUAGGCGGCUUGUCGCGUCGACUGUGAAAACCCGCAGCUCAACUGCGGGCCUGCAGUCGAUACGGGCAGGCUAGAGUUCGGUAGGGGAGACUGGAAUUCCUGGUGUAGCGGUGAAAUGCGCAGAUAUCAGGAGGAACACCGGUGGCGAAGGCGGGUCUCUGGGCCGAUACUGACGCUGAGGAGCGAAAGCGUGGGGAGCGAACAGGAUUAGAUACCCUGGUAGUCCACGCUGUAAACGUUGGGCGCUAG